AAUGUAUGACGCCGUUGAUUUUUUUUUUGUCCAACAUUUGACCAUUCGUCUUAUUCAAAAAAUUUAUGUAAUUAUCAUUUAUUUUAUUAUGACUUGAUUUGUCAUCAAAUGUUAUUUAAGCAUGACAUAAAUAUUUUCAUAUUUGCACAAAAAUUUUGAAUAAAACGAAUGGUUAAACGUUGGUCGAAAAGUCAACAGCGUCAUACAUU
rfam:Oryza glaberrima chromosome 4 Oglab04_0294_1, whole genome shotgun sequence.